rnacentral:rRNA from 1 species
GCCCUAUUCAUGCAGUUCGAGCGAACAGAUAAGGAGCUUGCUCCUUUGACGUUAGCGGCGGACGGGUGAGUAACACGUGGGUAACCUACCUAUAAGACUGGGACAACUUCGGGAAACCGGAGCUAAUACCGGAUAAUAUGUUGAACCGCAUGGUUCAAUAGUGAAAGAUGGUUUUGCUAUCACUUAUAGAUGGACCCGCGCCGUAUUAGCUAGUUGGUGAGGUAACGGCUCACCAAGGCAACGAUACGUAGCCGACCUGAGAGGGUGAUCGGCCACACUGGAACUGAGACACGGUCCAGACUCCUACGGGAGGCAGCAGUAGGGAAUCUUCCGCAAUGGGCGAAAGCCUGACGGAGCAACGCCGCGUGAGUGAUGAAGGUCUUAGGAUCGUAAAACUCUGUUAUUAGGGAAGAACAAACGUGUAAGUAACUGUGCACGUCUUGACGGUACCUAAUCAGAAAGCCACGGCUAACUACGUGCCAACAGCCGCGGUAAUACGUAGGUGGCAAGCGUUAUCCGGAAUUAUUGGGCCUAAAGCGCGCGUAAGCCGUUUUUUAAGUCUGAUGUGGAAGCCCACGGCUCAACCGUGGAAGGUCAUUGGAAACUGGGAAACUUGACUGCGGAAGAAGGAAGUGUGAAUUUCAUGUGUGUCGGUGAGAUGGGCAGACAUCUCGAGAGAAAACCCUCAGCGAAUACGACAUUCUGGACCAUGAAUGUAUACUCAUGUGUGAUAGCCUCGGUGUCUCACAUCAGUAUAUAUCCCC